AGUUAAUUGAAACCUCUUCCAAAAUAGUGGACUCAUCACUAAAUAAAGUCAUGACCUCUCGAAAUCCACUUUCAUGAUUAUUACAAUAAGAUUCAACACCCUCAAAAUAGUGGGUCAUUAGUACCUAGAAUUGACACUCUUCCAAAUCCACUUUCAUUAAUAUAAUCAUCAUAAAUACUCCCUCCGCCGGUCAAAAAAAAAUACUCCCUCCGUCCCGAAAUUCAUGUUGCACACAUAGUGUAAUGUAAUUUUUCCAAAAAACCUUGUAUCCUCUAAUCUUUUACAAACAAGUCAUUCCGUAUUCCUCUGCCCAGCCCAGCUUCCUCGCAUCGGUCUAAGGCCGUCGCCGACCAAUUCGCCACUUGCUCCACCAAAGGCCUGGUCCUCCGCCACUCGGUACCUGCUCCUCCACCUCCAGUACAUGCACCGUCGCUGCCCAGUAUGUGUGCCUCCGUGAUCCACUCCUGCCGCCACCGCCAAGGACCUACGCCGCCAAGAUCCGGUCGAUCUCGUCAUCAUCAAACUCCCGCGCAUGCCUGGACGUCAAGCUAGUCCUCCUCCUUCUCCCGUGUCGCCAGGCUCGUUCUACUGCUCCCCUAGUGAUCAAGGCGAUGCUCCUCCUCCACGCCCAACACCUCACUUCUCACCCAGCAGCAGAUCCUCUACUUCGCACCUAUAGAUCAAGUGGAGACUAGUCAAUCUGAGUAUGAGCAACAGGUAAAUUUAUCAAUACACAGGAGUAUCAUUUGUAGCAGUAGUAUCUGUAGGAGCAGUAUCUUCUGUAGUAGCAAUUGAUCAGUCUCAACAGUAAUCUAUAGUAAUAUCAAAGAUCAAACUUGCCACGCGCCUCUCCUCUUCGGGUACAACAUUUUUUUGAUGUUUUAAAACAUGAGCAAACUGAACAUCAUAACAUGUUUCAGUUAGAAUGACCAAUACUGUGAAAUUUCAGAAACUGAAUUAGAAACGUGUUUUCCAAGAUGUGCGUAUGCACAGUAUUGUAAAAGUACAAUAGAAUAUGAUUUGUACUUGAAAUUAGGAUGAACAGUAAACUAGUAAUGAAAGUAAACUAUAAUUUGUUAUAAAGAUUUUCCUACUAAAAAUAACGGGAUGGAUAGAAAAGGGUGAAAAGAUAACUGAAUGCUAGGCUAAAAUGGACAGUAAACUGAUAAUGACUAUUGCCAACAAGAGUAGGAAAAUGUGAGCUUCUAAAAUUUGUUACAUAAAUUUUCCUAGUGAAAAGAUAACUGAUUUUCGUGUACUGAAAAUUUAUAGUGCCGAGUUCAGGAAAGUUUACUCAAUUUUGUGGAGCACUCAAAGUGCUUUGAACUAAUAAAUCAUUAAAGUUCAAAGCCUAGAGAAUCAUCAAAGUUCAGCAAUAAGCAUCAAUCCAAAAUCAUCUAUAUGCAUUCAAAAAAUAAAAAUUCAACAAAUUUGGUGUCAAGCUUAUUUCUAUCAAAAUUUAAAUUGAAAAAUAUCAAGGUUUCCAUUGAAUGAACAGAGUUUGGGCACUGAAUUUGUAAGCCAUGGUAUAAUGAGCUUGGGCUUACAAAUUUUCAGUAGUUUUGACACUUGCUUGCAAAUUCAGUAGUUUUUUCCUAUUCCUAAUGUUUCCUGAUUUUUAAACUUGCUUGCAAUAAGCUUGCAGUACACUUUUAAAUUCAGAUCAGAAGCCAAGAUGUAAAACUGAAUUUUAACUAAACUUUUACUCCAAGAAUAGGAGUAUCAUGCAUGCUUAACUAGAUUUUUAACAUAAUCGCUCUCUUGGUUUAGGAGUACUUAAUUUCAAUCUCUCUCUUAGCCUAGGAGUACUGAAUUUUUGUAGUAGAUUUGCACUGAUUUUCCAAGCACAACCAGUAUCCAUUCAUUUACACUUCAUUCAAUCAUAAA